UCUGCUCAAUGAUUUUUUAAAUUGCUGUGGUAUUAUGACUAUACGAAGGUAUUGAAAUAAGACUUUAAUUGGGUGCUAAGAGAAUGGUUUAACAAAAAUAAGCUUUUUUUUUAUUUAUAUUAAAAGUUAAUUUAAAAAUGAAAAAGUUUUUAUAUAUUUUUAGGACAAGAAGACCCUAUGAAUUUUUUUAAAGACUUUUCUUUCUUGGUUCUUUAAAAAAAUUCAAGAAAAGUUUUUAAUUAAUUGGGGCGAUUUUUAAAUUUUAAAAAACUUUAAAAAUGUAUUAUUGGAUCCAAUAUUAUUGAUAUUUUAAAAAAAAUACUCUAGGGAUAACAGCGUUAUUACUUCGGAUAGUUCACAUAGAUGAAGUAGAUUGCGACCUCGAUGUUGGAUUAGGAUACCUUUAUUAAUGAAGAGGUUAUGAAAGGAGGUUUGCUCAACCUUUAAAUUCCUACA
rnacentral:rRNA from 1 species